GCGGGAGUGGCGGAAUUGGUAGACGCGCACGUUUGAGGGGCGUGUGGAUACAUCCAUACGGGUUCGAUUCCCGUCUCCCGCACCA
rnacentral:tRNA from 1 species